rnacentral:tRNA from 1 species
GGAGAGGUGGCAGAGUGGUCGAUUGUACCGCACUCGAAAUGCGGCGUGCCUUUGCGGGCACCGAGGGUUCGAAUCCCUCCCUCUCCG